rnacentral:rRNA from 1 species
GUCCACGCUGUAAACGAUGGAUGCUAGAUGUUGUGGGUAUUGACCCCUGCAGCGUCGCAGCUAACGCAUUAAGCAUCCCGCCUGGGGAGUACGGCCGCAAGGCUAAAACUCAAAGGAAUUGACGGGGGCCCGCACAAGCGGUGGAGCAUGUGGUUUAAUUCGACGCAACGCGAAGAACCUUACCUGGGUUAAAAUCCGCUGGAAUCCCGCAGAAAACGUGGGAGUGCUCUUCGGAGAGCCAGCGAGACGGUGCUGCAUGGCUGUCGU